rnacentral:rRNA from 1 species
UCGGGAAUCUUCCGCAAUGGACGCAAGUCUGACGGAGCAACGCCGCGUGAGUGAAGAAGGAUUUCGGUUCGUAAAACUCUGUUGUUAGAGAAGAACAGCGCAUAGAGUAACUGUUAUGCGUGUGACGGUAUCUAACCAGAAAGCUACGGCUAACUACGUGCCAGCAGCCGCGGUAAUACGUAGGUGGCAAGCGUUGUCCGGAUUUAUUGGGCGUAAAGCGAGCGCAGGCGGUCAAUUAAGUCUGAUGUGAAAGCCCCCGGCUCAACCGGGGAGGGUCAUUGGAAACUGGUUGACUUGAGUGCAGAAGAGGAGAGUGGAAUUCCAUGUGUAGCGGUGAAAUGCGUAGAUAUAUGGAGGAACACCAGUGGCGAAGGCGACUCUCUGGUCUGUAACUGACGCUGAGGCUCGAAAGCGUGGGUAGCAAACAGG